AUCAGUAACAUGCUCAACUACUGGGAGCUAGUAUUGGCUACUAAAACCCAGCAAAACAUUUAAAAACAUAUUAUCUAAUAUAAAACUUACCUUCAUAUCUUCCCUUAUUUUCUUUUCUUGGCCAAACUGUUUUAAUAUGACAAAUUUGAAGUCAUUUGGGAUGUUUUAUUUCAGCCCAGUUGGCACAUACAUUUUAAUCAAAAUGUUAUGAUUAGUAAGCAUUAACUAUCAUCCUUUGAAAGGGGCAUUAGUAAAAAGGUCCUGAGUAUGAGCUCAGUGCUGAUGAACACACGAUUUGUGUUCACACAGCAGUUCAAUUAUAGGU
rnacentral:lncRNA from 1 species